ACCAGCUAGUCAUCGAGGCACCUGCCAUUACAGUAGGAUGAGCUCCUCCUUCCCCAAAUAUGCUGCUUACAACUCACUGGGUAUCGUCGAAUCCUUUGGAUGAACAAAGCAGGCAAAUGAAGAGUGGGGAACAAAAUGGGAGGCCAAGACGAGCAUUGCAGUAGGAGCCAGAUGUGCUAGAAGGAAGGGGGAGAGUCUACAUAUGGGGCCUGGCCUACUCCUGGAUCACAGAUCUUGCCAAAUAGAGUUCAUGCUCCAUUAUCCACUCUAAUGGAAGAAAGUUGGACAACAUAAUUCAAAACAACGGACAACCUUGAAAGUGAGGAAGCAGACUCAGGAAGAUGAAUAACUUGCCCAAAGUUGCAGAGGUAGAGAGGCAGCCUAGAGAUCCAGCUGCCAAUCUGCCAGAUCCCAAAGCUCCUCUCCGGCUUGACCUCCAUGUCCAAGCGCUGGGACAGUGGGCAGGGAAGGCUGUGUCAGUUUCUGGAUCAGAUCUUGGAGGAAACUGCUGUGGCUCCAGCUGGUUGACCACAUCCAGGCCAGAAGGAGAAAGUGGAGAAUCAGAUGCUCCAGCAGAAUCGUGCUUCAUUUUACUGGCCAGAACUGUAUCAAGGGGCUCUGUCAACUGUUACUGAACAGGUGAGCAUUAAAUGAAU